CGGGAGUGCGGCUGGCGGAGCUGGGCUGCAGGAGCUCGGCCGCUCCUGGUAUUGAAUGCAGAACAGACAGUCCAGACGGUGGAGUUGAGGAGCUGCAGAGCCCUGAAGGAUUGGAGCUAGGGGAUCCGGACUGCGAUGGAAAGGGAAUGCUUUAAUAACUAUGCAAAUUUACAGCAAAAGCACGUUUCCAUUGCAAAACGCCAUAUCUGAAUGGGACGCACUUUGCUACACGGAGCGCAUACAUAGAGCUUGUUGAACGGCCUGACCCUUGCAUGAGAGAUCCGCAAUAUCGUUAUGGCAAGCAGUGUAUUUACUCACUCCCACAUAAAGCCAGUUGAUGCUUUCAGUUUUUAAUCCAAGUACUAAAAUAAAUACGUCUGUAUGUAUACAGUC
rnacentral:lncRNA from 1 species